CAAUAUGCGCACUCUUUGGGGAGUAGCCUGCUACUGAACAGUUCAGUAGAGUCCGUGUCAACAUACUCGACAGCAAUGUCGUGGCACGGGCGCCUUGUAUGACAGGGU
rnacentral:sRNA from 2 species